rnacentral:rRNA from 1 species
CGUCGGAAGUGUAAUCUUGGGGCUUAACCCUGAGCGUGCUUUCGGUACGGGUUGACUUGAGGAAGGUAGGGGAGAAUGGAAUUCCUGGUGGAGCGGUGGAAUGCGCAGAUAUCAGGAGGAACACCAGUGGCGAAGGCGGUUCUCUGGGCCUUUCCUGACGCUGAGGAGCGAAAGCGUGGGGAGCGAACAGGCUUAGAUACCCUGGUAGUCCACGCUGUAAACGGUGGGUACUAGGUGUGGGGUCCAUUCCACGGGUUCCGUGCCGUAGCUAACGCUUUAAGUACCCCGCCUGGGGAGUACGGCCGCAAGGCUAAAACUCAAAGGAAUUGACGGGGCCCCGCACAAGCGGCGGAGCAUGCGGAUUAAUUCGAUGCAACGCGUAGAACCUUACCUGGGUUUGACAUGGAUCGGGAGUGCUCAGAGAUGGGUGUGCCUCUUUUGGGGUCGGUUCACAGGUGGUGCAUGGCUGUCGUCAGCUCGUGUCGUGAGAUGUUGGGUUAAGUCCCGCAACGAGCGCAACCCUUGUUCACUGUUGCCAGCACGUUAUGGUGGGGACUCAGUGGAGACCGCCGGGGUCAACUCGGAGGAAGGUGGGGAUGACGUCAAGUCAUCAUGCCCCUUAUGUCCAGGGCUUCACGCAUGCUACAAUGGCUGGUACAGAGAGUGGCGAGCCUGUGAGGGUGAGCGAAUCUCGGAAAGCCGGUCUCAGUUCGGAUUGGGGUCUGCAACU